rnacentral:rRNA from 1 species
AUUGAACGCUGGCGGCAGGCCUAACACAUGCAAGUCGAACGAGUGGCGGACGGGUGAGUAAUGUCUGGGAAACUGCCUGAUGGAGGGGGAUAACUGCUGGAAACGGUAGCUAAUACCGCAUACCAUCGGAUGUGCCCAGAUUGGAUUAGCUAGUUGGGGGGGUAAAGGCUCACCUAGGCGACGCUCCCUAGCUGGACUGAGAGGAUGACGCGCCACACGGGAACGGAGACACGGACCAGACUGCUACGGGAGGCAGCAGUGGGGAACAUGGGACAAUGGGCGAAAGCCUGAGGCAGCCAUGCCGCGUGUAUGAAGAAGGCCUGCGGGGUGUAAAGUACUUUCAGCUGGGAGGCGUUACCCGAAGAAGAAGCACCGGCUAACUCCGUGCCAACAGCCGCGGUAAUUC